rnacentral:lncRNA from 1 species
GUGCAAUUGAGCCAUCAGAGGUAUCAUUUAGUUGAAUACUAGGACUAUUGAUGAUACCGCUAUCUAAUGAUUGCACUGUAGUGUCAUUGAGCUUUGCUUCCAUUAUACUUGACGAUUGAUCCUUGUCUGAAUGGGAAAAUACAGGUGCGACAGAAAACUCAAGAGGAACAUUGUCUUUAAAAUCUUUAGUUUCCUGCAUUCUGAUAAUAUCCUAAGCAGAGCCAAGUGACCUGGUCAAGGAACCAGAAAGAGUACAUAAAAAAUUAGCUGAAGUAAAAAAUGUAUUAUCUUUUAUCAUCCCUCAGAAGAAAAGUAUAAAAAUAAAAUUGUCUGAAUGGGAAAAUACAGGUGCGACAGAAAACUCAAGAGGAACAUUGUCUUUAAAAUCUUUAGUUUCCUGCAUUCUGAUAAUAUCCUAAGCAGAGCCAAGUGACCUGGUCAAGGAACCAGAAAGAGUACAUAAAAAAUUAGCUGAAGUAAAAAAUGUAUUAUCUUUUAUCAUCCCUCAGAAGAAAAGUAUAAAAAUAAAAUAAAGUAAGUGGAGUUGAUAACAGUGAUAAGAAAUAAAGAUCAACUAAAGGUAAUGUGAAUCAUCUUCUCUUUUUUCACGAAGUUAUAGAGUAACUAUUAGUGUAAAUGACAGAUUCCUG